CUUCUCUUGGAAAGGUUUCUGCUGGCCUUGGAAUUAUUCAGCCAGCAUUUGUGGGGAGCUGGCUUUGCCUUCUGGCUCAGAUUCCCCGGACAGACAUCACAAAGAGCGUAUUCCUACUUGGCAGCGUGAUUUAAGCGCUCAGUGUUAAGUAGGUGUGAUGAGGAUACCCAGGCUGAAAUACUGCCCUGCUUCCGAUUGGGGCUGAGCAGCAGAACAGAAGCAGAACAGGAUUCAAGAAGAGGCUUGUACAGUUUCAGCACCGAUGCUCUUUUCCCAGAGACCAUUAGAUCAAAGAGAAAGCGAAAGUAUUAGCAUUUAGGGACAACGGAACUGGGCCGAAUUGUGCAGUUCCAUACUGUGCUGGCAAAAAGGAAAUCACCAGGUUCUACCCUUUUUGGAUUAGGGAUGGAGGGUGCAGUGGACAGUUGGUGGCCUCUAGUUGAUAGAGCCUGGAUCUGCUUUGGACUGUCAUGUUGUCCCAGAAACGAAGGCAAACGAAUGCUGUGUGGCUUGUUAUCAGGAGAGCAGUAUCUAUUGGUGGGGCCCCAGGGCCUGCUGACAAAGUCCAUGUAAAGGCAAGGCUGAUGGAUGUCCAACAUUAAGGAGAAUGGGGAGAGGAAUAAAGUGGAAGAAGCCAAACAUCUCCCCUCCCCCAACGUCAAAUGUCACUUGACUCCUUAAAACCUAGGGGACCAGAAGCAAGCUUCCAGCUUUCCCACCAAGAUCCACAGCAAAUUGUGCAUCCUAAGCCAAGAUGAAUCUAAAGUUGGAUAGAGACCAAGAAGGCCAGCUGUAUCUUUUUCUGGUGCUCUAUUGCAGAGACCAGCGAUGCAUCCACCCAGGGUAUGAUUUCAUAAACUAGCAGAAGACGUGGCCUUAAGUAAAUAUGAGAGUCAUAAAAGCCAGAAGCAGAGAAACCCAGCAGAGAAAAGCCAUUUUGUUUUUUUUAUUCCACUGAUGAAUUUUAAGUUGAGAAAGGAAAACCUACCAUAGGAAUGGGUAUUAUUGUUUUGUGACAUGAUUUGUUUCCAGUCAAGUUAUGGUAAUUAACCAGGCUACUUUCUUAACAAGCUGAUGAGUGAACCUGAAUAAUAUAUGCUGUUCUUUUAAAAGGUAUGGAAAAAGAUCAGCAAAGAAGUUGU
rnacentral:lncRNA from 9 species